AUAAGUAAACCCCCGCUUUCAGUCCGUGAAUGACACAUUGAGUUCCAGAGGAGCAAGUGCGAGGGCUGUUUUCAAAACCCACUCUGGGAAGGAGCUUUCAGUCUAAUAAGCAGCAUACAGCAGCAUCAUUUUCCCAAGUUUAACAACUUAAUACCUUCUAUUCCAAAAUAAUGCAGAGACGUUCACCAAUACUUUGUGAGACCCACAUCCAACCGUUUUCCUCAACCAUUACCUCCAGGAGGCUCUGGAGCUGCUGAGGCCAGACUUCAUCAGCCGAUCCCAGGGGAGGCUGAGGUGCCUGGAGCAGAGGGUGAGGAGGAGACGGAGGAGGAGCAGCACGCUGGAGGACGACAGCGUGGAGGAGGAGGAGCAGGGCCUGGGGGGGGACGCAGGCUAUCGGAGGAGGAACUGCACCACACCUCAUCCGCUCAGUGAUAACCUCUUCCAGCCCAGAGAGAGAUCUAUAUCAGGCCGAGAGAUGCAGCUGCGAUCCAGACGGAUGUAUUACAAGCUACCUGAGGUGGCCAGGAGAAGGGAGGAGGAAAGGAAAAAGGCAGUUUCACAGUCCAACAGACUGCGUGCAGAACUCUUUAAAAAGAGACUUCUGGAGCAGGUUUUACAAAGAUGAACCAGGACCAAUGAGGACCAAUCGAGUGUAUCAUUUUAAACCAUGUUCCAUGUGUCAUGAUAUAUCCAAAUGCACCUUGACAUAUCAUCAUUAGUACUGUUCGCAUUAACUUUUUCCACAAUAUAGCACAAACUGUGUGAUCAGGAUUUAUACCUAUUCCUAUAUUCCUAUGUAUUUACUUACUAUUACGUAUUACACAACAAAUGUUCGAUAUUUAAAUAUUGGAUAAAAAAAAGGACAUAGCGCCAACCAAACCACAAUAACCUUGCCAACAUAGAUUAAUGGAUGUAUUCAAUGAAGUAGAAGUAUAUUUAACCUUGAAUAUAAAAUGCAAUCACUCCAUAUGUUAAUAUAUUAUUUACAAUGCAAAUAAAUACUGGCAUCUCCUAACAUCUUGA